AUUGAACGCUGGCGGCGUGCUUAACACAUGCAAGUCGAACGAAGUGGCGAACGGGUGAGUAACGCGUAAUCAACCUGCCCUUCAGAGGGGGACAACAGUGGGAAACGACUGCUAAUACCGCAUACGGAAGGAGGGGAUUGCGUCUGAUUAGCUGGUUGGAGGGGUAACGGCCCACCAAGGCGAGGAGCAGUAGCCGGUCUUGGAGGGUGAACGGCCAACUUGGGACUGAGACACGGCCCAGACUCCUACGGGAGGCAGCCGUGGGGAAUCUUCCGCAAUGGACGAAAGUCUGACGGAGCCACGCCGCGUGAGUGAUGACGGCCUUCGGGUUGUAAAGCUCUGUUAAUCGGGACGCGGUACCGGAAUAGAAAGCCACGGCUAACUACGUGCCAGCCGCCGCGGUAAUUC
rnacentral:rRNA from 1 species